rnacentral:miRNA from 1 species
AUGUGAUGGAGAUGCGAUGGAAAGUUGGGAGAUUGGGGGAAGUUGGGUGUGAACUAAACAUGGCCUUUGCUGAAGUGCUGCAUCUGUGGAUUGGGGCCCUGUUUAGUUCACAUCAAUCUUCCUCCAAAUUCCCAACUUUUUAUCACAUCACAGUCACAU